AUGAGAGGGGGAAACCACUUAGGAAUGAAAAGCUUGGUGCAGCUGUUCAACGAGUGGGAGAUCCAACUACUAGUGCUUGUUAGCUUCACGCUACAAUUCUUUCUCUUCUUUACCGGCGGCCUCCGGCGGCGUAUCAGAAGCAGUGUACUGAGAUCAUCAGUCUGGCUAGCCUAUCUGGGAGCGAACUUGGUAGCCGCUUAUGUCCUAGGCCUCAUCACACGACAAGAGGUUUCUACUCAUCACCUGUUUUUUCUCUGGGCGCCCUUCCUCCUCAUACAUCUCGGCGGACAAGACACCAUCACUGCUUUUGCCAUCGAGGACAACACUCUCUGGCUGAGGCAUCUGUUGAAUCUUGUUGUCCAGGUGAACCUCACCCUGUAUAUCUUUUGGAAAUCAUUUGAUGGCGGCCCUAAUAUGCAGCUUCUUGCUCCUAGUAUCCUUUUGUUUGUUACUGGCACUAUCAAGUAUGGGGAGAGAACAUUGGCUUUGUGGUGUGGCAAUGUAAGAAACAUGAGGGAAAUUUGGGGUGGUUCUGAAUCGGAAACGCGCCUUGAUACCUCUUCUGAAGACCUUGUUUUCUAUGCCUUGCCUUCAGCAAAGGUUAUCCGUUGGUUUUUUACUAGCCUUUCGUACAAGCCUCACGCUAACCGUUGGGAUAUAGAUAGUUUACAGCCAGACCUUUCAACCAAGUUAUUCGGGAUCAUGGAGAUUCAACUCGGCCUGAUGUAUGAUGAUAUCUAUACUAAGGCCCUGGUGCUUCGGACGUGGGGUUGCACCAUACUUCGGUACAUCUCACAUAUUACCUUUCUGGCCGCUUUAGUGCUCUUCUCUGUAAUAAGAAACAAAGAAGAGAGGUGGUACUACAGUUCUGUUGACACUGUAAUCACCUAUGGCCUAUUUUUUGGCGGUUUCUCUCUUGAAGUUUCCUCAUUAUGUAUCAUCAUGAUGUCACCUCGGACUUGA
rnacentral:rRNA from 1 species